AGUGCCACUUGUGGUCUAAACUGAAUAAAUAUUUUUGACUUUGAUUAAUUUUCAGCUUAAAACAAAAGACGGAAGGCCGCACGUGGUGUGUUACGUCUGCUACCAUUUAUUGAGCAAGUGUCACAAAUUUAUUGAAAGUGCCGUUAAAACUGACAGAGUUCUUCAACGACUAUGUAGCAGUGGUAUACAGUUAACCGAGCAGCAUAUUGCAGCGAUAGACAAGGCUUUCUUACUCACACCAUUAACUAAGUCACGCGUUAUAAAUAUAAACGCAAUAAGCGAUUCAGACGGAGUCAGUAUAGAAGUGGCUGAAGUCAAGAGAGAAAUUGAAGAAGAUAAGCCUAUAUAUUAUGAAGUGGAAGUUGUUAA